CAUCCUCAAGUACUAGUCUCACAGGUUCCCCGUAUAGCCUGCUGGAACACUUUAUCACUCACAGGUUCACCGUAUAGCUUUGCGGAAACACUUUAUCACUCGCGAGGAGAGUCCAUCACAGGACUCUGAUAACGAUAUAUCCGACGCGGAAGACUUACUUCCUUGCCUAGUGGCACAUGGCACGGACCAUGGCACUAGAUCAAGAAGGGAGUUCGGUAUGUGGUAUCAGUAAUAACAGAGCACAUUGAAACCCCUUCAAGGUUGGGCAAAGAUUGCUGUAUUUCUCAAAAGGUUCGGUUUUUAUAGCUUACAAAGUUGUAAUGGUUAUCAUAUGCUUGUUCAUGGUUCAAUGUGUAAAAAAGAGAAAGAAUUAACUAGACGCCUGGGACAGAAAGCUGACAAUAUAAAUUUCGGCGAUGUACCUAUCGAACCCAAUGUUUUGGUUAUUUGACUCUUCUGAUUGUACCCUGCCCUGUGGGGCCACUACACUCGUAAUA